rnacentral:lncRNA from 1 species
GGAAAAGACAAACCAGAAAUAUGUCUCAUAUUUGCAAAAGGAGUAUGUGCUAGUCUUAAAUGGCAAACGUAAUUCAUGUCAGUGGUAACAGCAUUAUUACAAAUGGAAUUAUUUACAAUUGGAGGCAACGCAACAACUUUGCUGUCAGACACAUUGUCAUCAUUACAAAAAUUAGAGAAAGAAAAAAAAAAGUAAAAGAAGAACCAGGAGAGGAAGAGAGGGAAGAUGGCACCCAAGACAGUUUGUAAAUGCCAGCUUCCUCUUUACCAAGAUCCAGAGGCCUCUUCAGAGAAGGGUCCUG